AACGAACGCUGGCGGCAGGCUUAACACAUGCAAGUCGAGCGCCCCGCAAGGGGAGCGGCAGACGGGUGAGUAACGCGUGGGAAUCUACCCAUCUCUACGGAUUAACGCAUGGAAACGUGUGCUAAUACCGUAUACGUCCUUCGGGAGAAAGAUUUAUCGGCGAUGGAUGAGCCCGCGUUGGAUUAGCUAGUUGGUGGGGUAAAGGCCUACCAAGGCGACGAUCCAUAGCUGGUCUGAGAGGAUGAUCAGCCACACUGGGACAGAGACACUGCCCAGACCCCUACGGGAGGCGGCACUGGGGAAUAUUGGACAGUGAGCGCAAGCGUGAUCCAGCCAUGCCGCGUGAGUGAUGAAGGCCCUAGAGUUGGAAAGCUCUUUCACCGGUGAAGAUGAUGGCGGUAACCGGAGAAGAAGCCCCGGCUAACUUCGUGCCAGCAGCCGCCGUAACAC
rnacentral:rRNA from 1 species